rnacentral:rRNA from 1 species
GGUGCUUGCACCUUUCAAGUGAGUGGCGAACGGGUGAGUAACACGUGGACAACCUGCCUCAAGGCUGGGGAUAACAUUUGGAAACAGAUGCUAAUACCGAAUAAAACUUAGUGUCGCAUGACACAAAGUUAAAAGGCGCUUCGGCGUCACCUAGAGAUGGAUCCGCGGUGCAUUAGUAAGUUGGUGGGGUAAAGGCCUACCAAGACAAUGAUGCAUAGCCGAGUUGAGAGACUGAUCGGCCACAUUGGGACUGAGACACGGCCCAAACUCCUACGGGAGGCUGCAGUAGGGAAUCUUCCACAAUGGGCGAAAGCCUGAUGGAGCAACGCCGCGUGUGUGAUGAAGGCUUUCGGGUCGUAAAGCACUGUUGUAUGGGAAGAACAGCUAGAAUAGGAAAUGAUUUUAGUUUGACGGUACCAUACCAGAAAGGGACGGCUAAAUACGUGCCAGCAGCCGCGGUAAUACGUAUGUCCCGAGCGUUAUCCGGAUUUAUUGGGCGUAAAGCGAGCGCAGACGGUUUAUUAAGUCUGAUGUGAAAGCCCGGAGCUCAACUCCGGAAUGGCAUUGGAAACUGGUUAACUUGAGUGCAGUAGAGGUAAGUGGAACUCCAUGUGUAGCGGUGGAAUGCGUAGAUAUAUGGAAGAACACCAGUGGCGAAGGCGGCUUACUGGACUGCAACUGACGUUGAGGCUCGAAAGUGUGGGUAGCAAACAGGAUUAGAUACCCUGGUAGUCCACACCGUAAACGAUGAACACUAGGUGUUAGGAGGUUUCCGCCUCUUAGUGCCGAAGCUAACGCAUUAAGUGUUCCGCCUGGGGAGUACGACCGCAGGGUUGAAACUCAAAGGAAUUGACGGGGACCCGCACAAGCGGUGGAGCAUGUGGUUUAAUUCGAAGCAACGCGAAGAACCUUACCAGGUCUUGACAUCCUUUGAAGCUUUUAGAGAUAGAAGUGUUCUCUUCGGAGAACAAAGUGACAGGUGGUGCAUGGNCGUCGUCA